UACGGGGGGGGCAAGCGUUGUUCGGAAUUACUGGGCGUAAAGGGCGCGAUAGGCGGUUGGAUAAGUCAGCUGUGAAAACCCACGGGCUUAACUCGUGGCCUGCAGUUGAGACUGUCUGGCUUGAGUGUGGGAGGAGGAGAAUGGAAUUCCAGGUGUAGCGGUGAAAAUGCGUAGAUAUCUGGAGAACGACCGGGUGGCGCAAGGCGGCGAAGUCCAUG
rnacentral:rRNA from 1 species